rnacentral:tRNA from 1 species
GCCUAGUUAGCUUAGUUGGUAGUGCGUCUGCCUUGUAAGCGCUAGGCCGCGGGCUCUAUUCCCGCCCGGGGCG